rnacentral:rRNA from 1 species
AAUAGAUACCCAGGUAGUCCACCCCGUAAACGUUGGGAACUAGUUGUGGGGUCCAUUCCACGGAUUCCGUGACGCAGCUAACGCAUUAAGUUCCCCGCCUGGGGAGUACGGCCGCAAGGCUAAAACUCAAAGGAAUUGACGGGGACCCGCACAAGCGGCGGAGCAUGCGGAUUAAUUCGAUGCAACGCGAAGAACCUUACCAAGGCUUGACAUAUACGAGAACGGGCCAGAAAUGGUCAACUCUUUGGACACUCGUAAACAGGUGGUGCAUGGUUGUCGUCAGCUCGUGUCGUGAGAUGUUGGGUUAAGUCCCGCAACGAGCGCAACCCUCGUUCUAUGUUGCCAGCACGUAAUGGUGGGAACUCAUGGGAUACUGCCGGGGUCAACUCGGAGGAAGGUGGGGAUGACGUCAAAUCAUCAUGCCCCUUAUGUCUUGGGCUUCACGCAUGCUACAAUGGCCGGUACAAAGGGCUGCAAUACCGCGAGGUGGAGCGAAUCCCAAAAAGCCGGUCCAGUUCGGAUUGAGGUCUGCAACUCGA